GUGUGUGUGUGUGACUUCUCUGGAAUUUGCAUUGUCCCUAACCUCUUGACACCUGGCAUUUAAAGUCAGGACCCUAGUGAAACUACUGUUUCCAAAAGGACUGGUCACUGCUAAUUACUACUCUAGCCAGCUCUACUCUGUCAUUACUAAAACUCUUCCUUCAUCUCCUUCUUGAAAAGACCCCAUCACGCUCUUCCUCUUCAGUGAUGUCACUUUUGGCUGGCUCCUUGCUCUUUCCCUUGCCUCAGUGAACUGCAAUAGGGUACAAAGUGAAGAGGUGAGACCUCAGACAGACCACCCACUAGCUGAGUGGUCUGGGGUGAGGCACCUCCCACCUGGGCCUUACCUGUAAGAGAGAUGGCCCAGGUACCUAUGCCCAACGCACAGGGCUCUGGUGAGAACUGGACGCUGACACCACACGUGUGCAGUGCUGACUUGGGCCUUGCACAGAGCAAGAGCUCAGUCUGUGCUGUCACUACUCUUGCUGUGUGAAUGCAGCCCUAGGUCACUCCCAGGAAAAAGUCAUUCAGACAACUGCAAGCACACUGCAUGAGAACACACUCCCUGGAAGAAAAGACUGGAAAGGCGCUUUGCAAUAAAUGGUUUGAGUAGAGCAGUAACUGCGUGGGGGCUGCUUUUCACUUUCUCUGUUCCCCCAGUUUUCAAUAGCAAGGCUGUGGGGAGCACGAGGGAAAGCAGCUGCUGACCAGGCCCUGCGGACACUGGCAGAGAGGAAGCCAGUGGAGAAACAGGAGAGAGGUACACAGGAGAAGUGCAUGAGUUCAAGAUCACAAGAUGCUCCAAGGCUUGGAAAAAACAAAAAAAUGGGUAGAAAAACUCAAAACUACCCCAAUGCCCUACUUUUCCUCUGUGCUUGGAUCGCCACUUCCAAAUAGGAACAGACUGGGAAAGAUGGCUGUGGUCUUCUGGAAAUGAAGUCAAAAGGUGCAAGAGACACCACAGAGACAUACUCUGAAGCAUGCCCACAUCAGGCAGACCACACACCAGUCCACGUGGCAGGAAAUGCUGUUCCAGUCAGAGACGCAUGCAAAACAGAAGCAGCAGGAACGCCCACCAAACAGCUAAGCAACCGCAUGUGUACACCGCCUUCCCCUCCAUCAAGAGCUGCUGAAACCAGACCUUAAUGCCAGAGAUGCCUGACGUGGGGGCCAUCAGCAGGCCACUUCCUAAGAACGGUGUCUCCUUUCCUCUCCCCUUUUCCUCUGUAAUCUCAGCUAACCGUACUACUGAAGCCUUUCUGGCAGCUUUGCAUGGGGGUAGAUGAUUUAAACUGGGGUACAGGACAUGAGGGGCUGCGUGUGGGGGUUCUGGACACAGGGUUGGUCCUAAAGGACACACCCGAGAAGGAAUUCUUCUUUCUGUCUUUGGAGACAAAGGGAAAAGAUGGCCAGGCUGGCAGCCGUCUUGGCACUGCAAGAAAAAGGGCACAAAGAUGAGGAAAGAGAGGAGUGCCGUCUACCUUCUGACUACAGCUUGAUGAACUCUUGAGUAGAAAGCUGCAGGGGAACGAGGACAAGCACUCAGAUCACCUUCACAGCCAACGGCCCUGACACAGUCACCAAGCCUCUCUGAUUUGGCUCUGGUUUUUGAUAGGAGACAGUAACAGUGAAGCGGCUCUGUAAAUAGAAAUCCAGCCUCUCUCCACCGCGCCUGCUGCACAGGGUGUGGCCGCCCUCUGCCUGCACAGGAGAGCGAUUCAUACCAGCAAAACCGGAAAAAUCACAACCAGGAGCAACUGUGGAAGCAGUGAGAGCCAAGAAGGCAAUGUAAGGAGUUGGGUUUUCUACGCGGUGUUGAUUCAUAUGGGAUUGUUCUGCAAAAAUGGUCCUUCGGAGAGCAAAAGUCCCCACAGGCUCACAUGGACCUGUCCCAAGCCAUGUGGCCUGAGCAUGAGAAGCCAAUGAUCAGUGAAGCACAGUGGAAUCCCUUUGAGCCUGGCCUCUCACAGAACAAGGCUCUCAGAGUUCCAGGUGCUCCUAUUAGAUCCUGAGCUCCCUGAGAACCAAUCAAGCAACCAGUGUGAUCAUCGAGAAAGGUAGGUACUAUAUUACCACAGGCAAUCAUAUUACAAUGCCCUGCCAUUUCACUGCUUAAAGAAAGAGAUUUCAGGGAUAAACUCUACAUUUCCUAGUCCCUACUCAUUUAGGGAGCAAGAAGUGUUCUGAGGCUAAAGCACACUAAAGCUAAACAAAAAAGCCCACAUUGGUGGGAAUAAGAAUGUUCCACAACUAGUAGCACCUUUUAGAUAAAGUUAUCAAGACUGUCUUAAAGUUAUGCUAGCCACUUAUAUUAGCAUAAAAAUCCAGGUUUUUAGUUAAUUUUUAAAUAAUAUGGUGGAGAAUCACGUACAGGCAUUGUGACUUCAUGAUAAUCUGAUAGCAGCAACUUGAAGAAAACAAUCAUGAUCUCAACCUAGUUUGAAAGUAGAAAAAAAAUUUUUUCUCCUGUUUUUUGGGGAAAGAGUUUAGCUAUGUAAUCCAUGCUGGCCUUAAACUCACUAGGUAGUCUAGGCUGGCCUUGAAUUCACAGCAAUCCUCCUGCCUCAGCCUCCUGAGUGCUAGGGUUACAGUCAUUUGCCAUCAUGCCAGGUUGCAAUUUUAAACACUGGACAAAAGUUUCAGAUUUGUCUAUGGAUAGAAUCAUUCAAAAACACUUUUCCUAGUAGUCUGAGUACAAAUGACUAUACUGGGUUUAAGUCUAGAAGAUUCCAUAAUGCCAUAGUAUAUCUUGUGGCAGUGCCAAGAAAUCCUUUGGUCAAAAGUAGGCAUUUCUACAUUGGACCAAUGUCUGGCACCCACCGGCCUCCAUCAGACAAAGGACUUUUUGGAAACUUGCCCUAGAAUUCAAGCAACUUUUGUGCUCUGAUCUUCAGAGAGAAUAGUAUCUAUGAGAUUGAAAUAAAAACCAGUUUUUGAAAUUCCAAUUAUGAUAACAGCAGUAUCCAUUUUUUGCUUGGUUUGUAGAAGUACAUGUUUUUAUUUGAUAGAAUGGAAACACGAUCCUUUCUAAACUAUAGUACCAGGAUGACUACCACACAAACUUCAGAGUAAAUUUUAAGAAUACCAUGUCAACCAGAAUCUGAAAAUGUCCCCCUUCUCUGAUAUUUUCAUGACUGUAUGAGUGUGUGUAUGUUAGAGACAGAGGGAGAGACGGAGAGAAUGACCGACUGACUCAUGGCAAGUACCAGAGAAUAUGUGUACUUAAAUUUCAUUCCACUAACUCUACAAAGUCCUUCUCACAUAUGGGCCUCUGAAACAACGUACACUUGUACAACCUUUGUUAUUUGCUCAUGUUGAGCCUGGUCCUAUGCCAAGCCCAGGAAAUACAGAGAUGAAUAGGGGAAGAGUUCCAGUCUUCACAAAAUGCACGGUCACACAGGGAGAUAAGGUAUGAAAAUACCAAGGCAAUCCAAAGAAAUAAGAAAUGCCAUCACUUAAAAUAUUACUUGAAUAUCAUUGAGAAAUAUAAACAUUCACAGAUAAGUGGCAUUUACAUGGGCCUAUGGGUGGAACAGUAACCGACUCCUUCCUCAAUUUGAAAGAGCUGGCAACGGAUACACACUUUGCAGGAGUACACUAGACCGUGGGGUAGGAGUUCUUGCCUGCCUAGUUACUGUUUUCAAAAGGUGUGUCCUGGUAUAAAAAGCAAGCAAUGAAUUUACAGGAAAGACAGACUCAUGUACUGGGUUGCAUUUGUUCAGAAAUCCCGAAGCACUUAACAGGUAACAGGAGCUUUAUCAGAUCAAAGUACACUGGCUUCACACAGCAUUUUUUAAGCUCACUAGUUCCUUCCAACCACCACCUCAUAGUAGUAUCUAGAAUAAUUCUAGUGUGAACAGAGACAGGUCAUUGUGCUCUCUGUUAAAACUGCAGACCUUAAAAUCAGAGAGACGCUUAAAAACCUCAAAUAAUUGGAAAAACAGUUCAACUCUUAUAUUUCUCAGAUUCUUAUAAGAGGAGUUGAAAUUUCUAAAAACCACAUAUAACUUUUGGCUUUCAUCUACUCCUUUCAUACAUCCAACUUCCCAAAGAUUUCUUACAGACUGUUUUGAAAACUUUUCCUCAACUUGACCUGCAUAUAUAUUAAUCCUUUCUCCCUUCUUUCAAUACUGAUACAAAACAAACUUCAAAGAAACAAACUGGCAAAAGCAGGACCUCUCUGGGGCAGGGUCAGGAAAACACAAUCAAAGUAUACGAUGAGCCUGGGCAGGCAGAGGAGGAAGGGAAAGAUUGGAAGUGCUAAAAGCUGGCACCACUGUCCUGUCAUUAGCUGUGAGGCCCAGAAGCGCACAAGACACUGUUGAUCUGUUCUGCAGUCUGGUUCCCGGUAGUGACCACAGCGCCUCGUGCAGCUGCGGUGCUUGAGAAAGUAGUUGGAGAAGCCUGAGUGUCAGUGGGAAGCCCGGGACAUACGUGACAGCCACAGGUGCUUGAAAUAGGGUAGCUGUUAUUACUGGUGCCAUCUCAGUCCCACUAGCUGAAGAGCAGGUGACAACUGCAGUGGAAAUUGUGUGUGUGAAGAACUGAUCUUCAGUAUUCACCCCACAGAUAUUUUGGCACCAGCAGAAUUAGGGAUUUAGAAAAUCUAUGGAAGAGCAUAUAGCUCAUUGAGAAGAGAAAAAUGUGCACCGAUCAUUUCAACACUAUUCUUUUGUCAAAUAUUUAUCCAGUUCCACCUCUGCAGUUACUGAGGCUAGUAGGGAACAGAACAUGAAAAUCAGUGUUUGCACGGUAGUGGCAGUCUCGUAAACACGCGCUGCUCUCCAGACAGCAACGCUCACCGAACACCCAUGACAUGCCAGACACCGCUUUACGGCAAACAUAUGAGAUAGGUACUGCUAUCAUCCUUAUUUAUAGCUGAGGAAACUGAAGCACAAGGUCAAAUGGAGGAACACAACAUAAUCAAGUACAAAUAAAAAUCUAGGCUAACACAAGGGAUGGACUGAUUAGCUGAAAAUUCUUCUCAAAGAGUCCAAGAGUCAGACUGAGACUCUUAACAGGAACAAAUUAAACAUUUCCCUGUUGAAAGUGUGUUCACACACUUAAGUGGACCGUCAGACAUGGCUGAUGACCUGUAUCUUAGGCUGCUCUAAGUAUACGAUGAAACUCAGGAUCUCAGAAAAGAUACUGUUUGGUUAAUUAAAAUUAUCUUUUUUUUUUCUAGCGCUGGGAAUCAUACCCAGGGUCUGGUAUAUGUUAGCAAGCGCUCUACCAUGGAGCCACACACCCCAGGCCAAAAGUCAGUCAUACACAUAAAUCACAGCACUUAGGUAUAAGGUACUGUGACCUUCCUGAUCUGUUACUUGAGUUUUUGUGGCCACAAAUGGACAGCUCUAUUACCUUAAUUCUCAGGCACCUGUAUCGGGCAGGCAUGUGAAGGUGACAGGGCCACCUCCUGUACCCUCUCAUUCCUCCUGACUCACGUGGUCAGCCUUGUGCUCAGGGCGGCCGGCAGGGCUGAGGGUGUAGCUCAGUAGGAUGGCUUGGUUAUUACGCACAAGGCCCUAGGUUUGACCAGGGUUUGUGCCACAAAAAAAUAAAGAAGAAACUUAAGACAGCUGGUGUUUGGGCUUCUCAUCUGUCCUGACCCCCACCUUCACCCUCUGUGGGUCUGUUCUAGACACUCUGCCUACUCAGAUGAUCUUUCCCAUAUUUAUGACAGGUUAUUAACACUUCUACACUUUUCCAGGAUUCACCUGUACCUUAAGAAGGACUGGCUGUGUGAGACAGCAAUGAGACUUUUAAAAAAUGGCUUUCCGAACUGAA